rnacentral:hammerhead_ribozyme from 1 species
ACCCAGCUGACGAAUUCUAAAUAGGGAGAAACGAGCGUCCUGGAU